CUAAUUAAAAAAUUGGUUCAGAUGUGAGACUAAUCCAGAUUGGUAAGGAUUGGUAAUGGAUUGGACUAAUCCAUCCUUGGUAAGGAUUUGGAUGGACAGGAUUUGAAUUUUGAAUUCAUAGAGAAUAAGAAGUGGAAGACGUCAGCCAGAAUGACAGUUACAAUACUGUUUUCCAUAAAUUGAAGUUUCUAUCCUGGAGAAGAUCAGACUCCUAAGAAACUCGACUAUUGUGACUUUUGAAAAAUGAGCUUCUUGACCCUGUGAUUGGAGAAAGAGCUUGGAGAAAGAUUCAAAAGCUCAGAGGUCAAAAGGCAAACAAAAAGUUUAGUGCAGUAAGAAGUUGAUUCUAACUUCGGAAACUUCUCAGGGUCUGAGAAGGCAAGGAAGUUGGUCUUCUGCUCCCAAUCCAUGAAUCGAAUGUGAGAGUUUAUUGAGGAAUCUGUACAUGGAACUGGAUAUUCCUUCACCGGUGAUGCAGUCUCCUUUGCAGGAAGUUGGGGCAGUGACAUGUUGACUUGUCUGGGAUG